UUCUGUCAUAUUUGUUAAAUUGGCUUGCUUUGGUGUCUGGAAAUUAUGAACAGCACGUCUACAAAGAAAGUCAACGUGUCUCACUAUUGUGUACAGAAUAUAUUGUACACUUACAGAGGCAAGAAUAAUAAGCCUAAUUCAAAACCGGAUGAGAAUUUAUGCGAGGCGCAUAAGAAAGAAAUUGACACGAUUCUGUCAUGUUUGCUGAAUCAGCUUGCCUUGGUGUCUGAAAGUGAUGAAUAACACAUCUACAGAAAGAGUCAACGUGUUUUAUUAUUGUGUACAGAAUAUAUUGUACACUUAUAGAGGCAUGAAUAAUAAGUCUGAUUCUCAAAGCCGGAUGAGGCUUUAUGCGAAGCGCAUAAAAAAGAAAUUGAUACGAUACAGAAAAUUUGGAAACACGAAUGAAUACCGCCGUAUAUGUAAACAUAUGAAAUGUAUACAUGUAAAUGUAUUAAACAAAUAUGUAUAUAUCGCUGUACAGAUAACUGUAAAUAGAACAGAAUAAAUGUAAAUUUACAAAAAUUA